CGUCAUGGCUUCGGUGUUUCAAAAAGCCUCUGUCAGAAGUCUGUCACUUUUACAGUCUGUGAUAAAACACUUUGUGUACAUGUUGUUGAAACGUUAUGGAUAUUAGAAAGUUUUUCAAAAGACCACCCAGCUCCGUUCAAGCAACAGCAUCGCCCAGUGAACUGACGGAUGGUGUUGUUUCAGAUAGGAUCAACUGGUAGUGGAGGAUGUUGAUGGAAGAGGGAACAAAGUCAACAUACAGCAAUCAGAAGGUAAUCCAACAACAGUGACCCAGUAUCUCAGCUACUGUUGCCGGGUGGCCAUGUUAUGAAAGUUCUGAGAAGUGCCUAGGGCACGCCUUCGCUCCAGCCAAUAGGGUGGAUGUGCAGGUGUGAUGUUAGCGUGUCUCCUGUUUGCUUUGCUAGUCCGGUGUUUGCUGCUCAAUCAAA